rnacentral:rRNA from 1 species
GACGAACGCUGGCGGCGUGCCUAACACAUGCAAGUCGAACGAAGUGGCGAACGGGUGAGUAAUACGUGGGUAACCUGCCCUCAUUUUUGGGAUAAGCCUUGGAAACGGGGUCUAAUACCGAAUAAUGGGUGAUGGGCUCGCGGCCUAUCAGCUUGUUGGUGGGGUGAUGGCCUACCAAGGCGGUGACGGGUAGCCGGCCUGAGAGGGUGACCGGCCACAUUGGGACUGAGAUACGGCCCAGAGGCCUACGGGGGGGAGCAGUGGGCGAUAUUGCACAAUGGGCGAAAGCCUGAUGCAGCGACGCCGCGUGGGGGAUGAAGGCUUUCGGGUUGUAAACCUCUUUCGCUAUCGAAGGGGUAGGUGGAGAAGAAGCGCCGGCUAACUACGUGCCAGCCGCCGCGGUAAUAC